ACAAGCUUAGAGAGUUUCCACAUGAUGUAAUGAAAAGUUUGGCUAGGCUUGAGGAGUUGUAUGUGAGAAACACUCGCAUUCAAUGGAAGGCAAAUGACAGUGUUCUAUCUGUGUUGGGUGAUCUGAAUCAAUUAAAAAAUCUAGACCUGCAAAUCCCAAGUGUUGAGCAUCUACCCAAGAAUUUGUUCUUUGACAAGUUGUACAGUUACAAGAUUAUCAUUGGCUCUUUAAAUAGAUAUUUAGAGGCUGAUUUCAAGAUUCCAGAUAAGUAUGACCUGUCAAGAUGUUUGGCAUUAUGCCAAAAGGAUGGCGGCUUUGACAUUCAUUCCGAGGAGGCAAUCAAAAUGUUGUUUGAAAGGGUUGAAAUCUUGUUGCUGCAAAACUUGAACGGUGUCCAAGAUGUUUUUUAUGAGUUGAAUCUAAAUGGAUUUCCUUAUCUUAAACGUUUAUCCAUUGCAAGCAACAAGAGUGUUCGCUCUCUCAUUAGUCAGCAGAGGCAGCGUUCUGAUCAGGUGGUUUUUCCCAAAUUGGAGUCAUUGUAUCUCUAUAAGCUUAGGAAAAUGGAGCAAAUUUUCUCUUGUAAGUCACUCUCAAAAGGUUCCUUUGGUAAGUUGGAAAAGAUCAAGAUCAAACUGUGUGGUUGCUUGAAGAAUGUUUUCUUAAUGUCUAUGGUUGGACUUCUAAAUAAGCUUGAGACAAUUGAAGUUUCAGAAUGUCACUCUUUGGAGACUAUUGUUGGAGAAACAAUUAAUCAUAAUGAAACAGAGCCUACUCUUAAGUUUCUCAAACUUCGUUCUUUAUCGCUGCAAUCUUUAUCCAAGUUUACUGGGCUCUAUCCAAUUUCAUCUGAAGAAGAUAGCAGAUCACUGUUUGAUGGCAAGGUAUGCUCAUAACUACUUUUCAGAUUUGAUUCUCUUGUACAUUUUGAACUUUGUUUCAUAAUAGGAAGAAAGCUUGUAUAUGUACUAAAAAAAGUGACAAAAGAAAAUAAUUUGAGAAAAUUAUAUUCAACUACUUUUGGAAUCAGCAUUAGUUGUUUAUAUUGCUUGGCAGAUUGAAGUUCGGAAGCUAGAGAGAAUUGAGUUGUCUAUGCUCCAAAUCAACCACAUAUGGAGUGACCAAAUAUGGACUACUGUGGAUCAAAGCAAAUCUCCUUUACAAAAGUUGAAAGAGUUGGGCAAGAAGUACCACACUAUCAAACAAACUUAUUCUCCCUUUCAAAACUUGAUACACCUGGAUGUCAAUGGGUGUUGGAAUUUAAAAUGCCUGUGGUCUUUCUCUAUUGCUAGACAUUUGGUGAAUCUUCAAAGCCUUUUUGUUACUGAUUGUAAGAUGACCCACAUCUUCCCCCAUGAUCAAGGUGAUAGUGAGGCUAAAACGAAAAAGGUAUGUAACUAAUUCAUUAACAUUACAUUAGAUUUGUUUAAUUAAUUAGUUUGAUUUCUGAUCUGAGACAAGUAUUGACUGAAAUGGAUGUGAAGCUAGAGCUUAUUAUCCAUGUGAAACUCUUAAAUCCUAAGGAUGGAGAGACACUGUUCAAGGAGAUGGCUGGAAUAGGAGCCAACAAUUCUGAAAUUGAAACAUUAGCAGCAGAAAUAGCCAAGAAGUGUCAAGGUUUGCCGAUGUCAAUAAUUACAACUGCAAGGGCAUUGAAAAAUCAGAGCCACUUAGUUUGGAAGGAUACUCAUCGAGCUCUUGAAAAGCUUGAAGAGGAAAACCAAUUAGCAGCACCUGAGUAUUCUACAAAGUUGAGUUAUAGGCUUCUAGAAAAUGAGGAGCUCAAGCUUACCUUCUUGCUUUGUGCCCGUAUGGAUCAUGACGCAUUGGUUGCAGAUUUGGUGAGAUAUUGCAUUGGUUUGGGUUUUCUUCACGGUGUCUACUCAGUUUGGGAAGCCAGAGACAGAGUACAAAUGCUACUCGUCAAGUUAAAACAGUCAGGUUUGUUGUCUAACAGUUAUUAUUCAAGUGAUCGUUUCACCAUGCAAAAUCUUGUUCGUAAUGCAGCUUUGUCAAUAUCAUCUGAGGAGAGGCAUGUGUUCAUGAUGAUCGAAGAAAAACUAGAUGAAUGGCCUGAUGAGGAUCUACUUAAAGAGUACACUGUUAUUUCCUUACAACGUUGUAAUUUCAUUGAGAGAUUUCCUGUCAACAUGUGUUGUCCUAGUCUUAGAGUCUUUCAUAUUGAAAAUAAUGAUCCAUCUUUACAAAUACCAGAUAAUUUCUUUCAAGAAAUGAGAGAACUUAGGGUGUUGAUUUUGGUUGGGUUCAACCUUCUAUCAUUGCCUUCCUCAAUUAAAAACCUAAAAAAACUAAGAAUGCUUUGUUUCGAGAAAUGCAUUUUAGGUGAAGGUGAGCAAUUAGGUGUCUUGGGAGAAUUAAAGAAUUUAAGAAUACUAAGCUUUUCAAGAUCUGAUGUCAAAGUUUUGCCUGAUGAGCUAAAGCAUUUAUCUAAGCUUCAAAUCUUUGACAUCAGUAACUGUUACAAGCUUAGAGAGUUUCCACAUGAUGUAAUGAAAAGUUUGGCUAGGCUUGAGGAGUUGUAUGUGAGAAACACUCGCAUUCAAUGGAAGGCAAAUGACAGUGUUCUAUCUGUGUUGGGUGAUCUGAAUCAAUUAAAAAAUCUAGACCUGCAAAUCCCAAGUGUUGAGCAUCUACCCAAGAAUUUGUUCUUUGACAAGUUGUACAGUUACAAGAUUAUCAUUGGCUCUUUAAAUAGAUAUUUAGAGGCUGAUUUCAAGAUUCCAGAUAAGUAUGACCUGUCAAGAUGUUUGGCAUUAUGCCAAAAGGAUGGCGGCUUUGACAUUCAUUCCGAGGAGGCAAUCAAAAUGUUGUUUGAAAGAGUUGAAAUCUUGUUGCUGCAAAACUUGAAUGGUGUCCAAGAUGUUUUUUAUGAGUU
rnacentral:lncRNA from 1 species